rnacentral:tRNA from 1 species
AAGACAUUAGUAAAAACAUUACAUCACCUUGUCAAGAUGAAAUUAUAGGUUAAACCCCUGUAUGCCUUA